UUAGAACGUGGUGUAAUGUGGUAGCACGAAGAUUUUUGAAUUCUUAGGAUUAGGUUCAAGUCCUAUAGUUCUAG
rnacentral:tRNA from 1 species